rnacentral:rRNA from 1 species
GAUGAACGCUGGCGGCGUGCCUAAUACAUGCAAGUCGAACGAACAGACGAGGAGUUUGCUCCUCUGACGUUUGCGGCGGACGGGUGAGUAACACGUGGAUAACCUCCCUAUAAGACUGGGAUCACUUCGGGAAACCGGAGCUUAUACCGGAUAAUAUAUUGAACCGCAUGGUUCAAUAGUGAAAGACGGUUUUGCUGUCAGUUAUCGAUGGAUCCGCGCCGCAUUAGCUAGUUGGUAAGGUACAGGCUUACCAAGGCAACGAUGCGUAGCCGACCUGUCAGGGUGAUCGCCCACACUGGAACUGAGACACGGACCAGACUCCUACGGGAGGCACCAGUAGGGAACCGUACGCAAUGGUCGAAAGCCUUACGGAGCAGCGCCGCGUGAGUGACGAAGGUCUUCGGAGCGUAAAGCUCUGUUACUAGUUAAGAACAAAUGUGUAAGUAACUAAGCACGUCUUGACGGUACCUAAUCAGAAAGCCACGGCUAACUACGUG